rnacentral:rRNA from 1 species
UUAAGCGACUAAGCGUACACGGUGGAUGCCCUGGCAGUCAGAGGCGAUGAAGGACGUGCUAAUCUGCGAUAAGCGUCGGUAAGGUGAUAUGAACCGUUAUAACCGGCGAUUUCCGAAUGGGGAAACCCAGUGUGUUUCGACACACUAUCAUUAACUGAAUCCAUAGGUUAAUGAGGCGAACCGGGGGAACUGAAACAUCUAAGUACCCCGAGGAAAAGAAAUCAACCGAGAUUCCCCCAGUAGCGGCGAGCGAACGGGGAGGAGCCCAGAGCCUGAAUCAGUGUGUGUGUUAGUGGAAGCGUCUGGAAAGGCGCGCGAUACAGGGUGACAGCCCCGUACACAAAAAUGCACAUACUGUGAGCUCGAUGAGUAGGGCGGGACACGUGGUAUCCUGUCUGAAUAUGGGGGGACCAUCCUCCAAGGCUAAAUACUCCUGACUGACCGAUAGUGAACCAGUACCGUGAGGGAAAGGCGAAAAGAACCCCGGCGAGGGGAGUGAAAAAGAACCUGAAACCGUGUACGUACAAGCAGUGGGAGCACGCUUAGGCGUGUGACUGCGUACCUUUUGUAUAAUGGGUCAGCGACUUAUAUUCUGUAGCAAGGUUAACCGAAUAGGGGAGCCGAAGGGAAACCGAGUCUUAACUGGGCGUUAAGUUGCAGGGUAUAGACCCGAAACCCGGUGAUCUAGCCAUGGGCAGGUUGAAGGUUGGGUAACACUAACUGGAGGACCGAACCGACUAAUGUUGAAAAAUUAGCGGAUGACUUGUGGCUGGGGGUGAAAGGCCAAUCAAACCGGGAGAUAGCUGGUUCUCCCCGAAAGCUAUUUAGGUAGCGCCUCGUGAAUUCAUCUCCGGGGGUAGAGCACUGUUUCGGCAAGGGGGUCAUCCCGACUUACCAACCCGAUGCAAACUGCGAAUACCGGAGAAUGUUAUCACGGGAGACACACGGCGGGUGCUAACGUCCGUCGUGAAGAGGGAAACAACCCAGACCGCCAGCUAAGGUCCCAAAGUCAUGGUUAAGUGGGAAACGAUGUGGGAAGGCCAAGACAGCCAGGAUGUUGGCUUAGAAGCAGCCAUCAUUUAAAGAAAGCGUAAUAGCUCACUGGUCGAGUCGGCCUGCGCGGAAGAUGUAACGGGGCUAAACCAUGCACCGAAGCUGCGGCAGCGACGCUUAUGCGUUGUUGGGUAGGGGAGCGUUCUGUAAGCCUGUGAAGGUGUACUGUGAGGUAUGCUGGAGGUAUCAGAAGUGCGAAUGCUGACAUAAGUAACGAUAAAGCGGGUGAAAAGCCCGCUCGCCGGAAGACCAAGGGUUCCUGUCCAACGUUAAUCGGGGCAGGGUGAGUCGACCCCUAAGGCGAGGCCGAAAGGCGUAGUCGAUGGGAAACAGGUUAAUAUUCCUGUACUUGGUGUUACUGCGAAGGGGGGACGGAGAAGGCUAUGUUGGCCGGGCGACGGUUGUCCCGGUUUAAGCGUGUAGGCUGGUUUUCCAGGCAAAUCCGGAAAAUCAAGGCUGAGGCGUGAUGACGAGGCACUACGGUGCUGAAGCAACAAAUGCCCUGCUUCCAGGAAAAGCCUCUAAGCAUCAGGUAACAUCAAAUCGUACCCCAAACCGACACAGGUGGUCAGGUAGAGAAUACCAAGGCGCUUGAGAGAACUCGGGUGAAGGAACUAGGCAAAAUGGUGCCGUAACUUCGGGAGAAGGCACGCUGAUAUGUAGGUGAAGUCCCUCGCGGAUGGAGCUGAAAUCAGUCGAAGAUACCAGCUGGCUGCAACUGUUUAUUAAAAACACAGCACUGUGCAAACACGAAAGUGGACGUAUACGGUGUGACGCCUGCCCGGUGCCGGAAGGUUAAUUGAUGGGGUCAGCGCAAGCGAAGCUCUUGAUCGAAGCCCCGGUAAACGGCGGCCGUAACUAUAACGGUCCUAAGGUAGCGAAAUUCCUUGUCGGGUAAGUUCCGACCUGCACGAAUGGCGUAAUGAUGGCCAGGCUGUCUCCACCCGAGACUCAGUGAAAUUGAACUCGCUGUGAAGAUGCAGUGUACCCGCGGCAAGACGGAAAGACCCCGUGAACCUUUACUAUAGCUUGACACUGAACAUUGAGCCUUGAUGUGUAGGAUAGGUGGGAGGCUUUGAAGUGUGGACGCCAGUCUGCAUGGAGCCGACCUUGAAAUACCACCCUUUAAUGUUUGAUGUUCUAACGUGGACCCGUAAUCCGGGUUGCGGACAGUGUCUGGUGGGUAGUUUGACUGGGGCGGUCUCCUCCUAAAGAGUAACGGAGGAGCACGAAGGUUGGCUAAUCCUGGUCGGACAUCAGGAGGUUAGUGCAAUGGCAUAAGCCAGCUUGACUGCGAGCGUGACGGCGCGAGCAGGUGCGAAAGCAGGUCAUAGUGAUCCGGUGGUUCUGAAUGGAAGGGCCAUCGCUCAACGGAUAAAAGGUACUCCGGGGAUAACAGGCUGAUACCGCCCAAGAGUUCAUAUCGACGGCGGUGUUUGGCACCUCGAUGUCGGCUCAUCACAUCCUGGGGCUGAAGUAGGUCCCAAGGGUAUGGCUGUUCGCCAUUUAAAGUGGUACGCGAGCUGGGUUUAGAACGUCGUGAGACAGUUCGGUCCCUAUCUGCCGUGGGCGCUGGAGAACUGAGGGGGGCUGCUCCUAGUACGAGAGGACCGGAGUGGACGCAUCACUGGUGUUCGGGUUGUCAUGCCAAUGGCACUGCCCGGUAGCUAAAUGCGGAAGAGAUAAGUGCUGAAAGCAUCUAAGCACGAAACUUGCCCCGAGAUGAGUUCUCCCUGACUCCUUGAGAGUCCUGAAGGAACGUUGAAGACGACGACGUUGAUAGGCCGGGUGUGUAAGCGCAGCGAUGCGUUGAGCUAACCGGUACUAAUGAACCGUGAGGCUUAACCUU